rnacentral:rRNA from 1 species
GAAAGUAAACAAGGGCGCAUGGCGGAUGCCUUGGCUCUCGGAGGCGAUGAAGGACGUGAUAAGCUGCGAUAAGCUCCGGGGAGGUGCAAAUAACCUUUGAUCCGGGGAUUUCCGAAUGGGACAACCCGGCGUGUUGAAGACACGCCACCUGAUCAUUUCAGGAGCUAACGCAGGGAACUGAAACAUCUUAGUACCUGCAGGAAAAGAAAAUAACAAUGAUUCCCCCAGUAGUGGCGAGCGAACGGGGAAUAGCCCAAACCGUUCAUGUUACGGCAUGAUCGGGGUUGUAGGACUACGUCGUUGCAUGAAGACAUCGGAGAAGAACUUUCUGGAAAGAAAGACCAUAGAGCAUGACAGUUGCGUAUUCGUAUGUUGUCGAAGCAUAGUAGUAUCCUGAGUAGCGCGGAGCACGAGGAAUUCUGCGUGAAUCUGCCGGGACCAUCCGGUAAGGCUAAAUACUCCCGAGAGACCGAUAGCGAACCAGUACCGUGAGGGAAAGGUGAAAAGCACUUCGAACAGAAGAGUGAAAUAGUUCCUGAAACCGUGCGCCUACAAGCGGUCGGAGCUGCUUAAAGCAGUGACGGCGUGCCUUUUGCAUAAUGAACCUACGAGUUGCCUUUGCCGGCAAGGUUAAGUGUGACGACACACGUAUCCGAAGCGAAAGCGAGUCUGAAGAGGGCGUAUAGUCGGCAGUGGCAGACGCGAAACCAAGUGAUCUACCCUUGGCCAGGUUGAAGGCUGGGUAACACCAGCUGGAGGACCGCACCAAUAAGCGUUGAAAAGCUUCUGGAUGAGCUGAGGGUAGGGGUGAAAGGCUAAUCAAACUUGGAGAUAGCUCGUACUCCCCGAAAUGCAUUUAGGUGCAGCCUUGUGGGUUACUGAUGUGAGGUAGAGCGACUGAUAAGAUGCGAGGGCUUCACCGCCUAUCAAGUCUUGACAAACUCCGAAUGCGCAUCAGUUUUACCUCAGGAGUGAGGGCAUGGGUGCUAAGGUCCGUGCCCGAGAGGAGAAGAAUCCGGACCACCUGCUAAGGUCCCGAAAUGACAGCUAAGUUAAACUAACGAAGUCUGACUGCUAAGACAGCUAGGAUGUUGGCUUGGAAGCAGCCAUUCAUUUAAAGAGUGCGUAACAGCUCACUAGUCGAGGAGUCUGGCGUGGAUAAUAAUCGGGUAUUAAGUUGUCUACCGAAGCAGUGGGAUCAUUGAAAUGAUCGGUAGGGGAGCAUUCCAGUCAGCGUCGAAGGCGUACCGCGAGGUAUUCUGGAGCGUCUGGAAAAGCAAAUGUAGGUAUAAGUAACGAUAAAGGGGGCGGGAAACCCCCUCGCCGAAAGACUAAGGUUUCCUGAUCAACGCUAAUCGGAUCAGGGUAAGUCGGGUCCUAAGGCUCAGCCGAAGGGCGAUGCCGAUGGCAGAAACGGUUAAUAUUCCGUUACUACCUCCAGGAGUGAUGUGGAGACGCAGUAGUGACAAUGCCGCCAUCUGACGGAAUAGAUGGUUGAAGGGUGUAGAUGUUGAUCUUGGCAGGCAAAUCCACCAUGAGAAUCGAACCUGAUAGUAUGCCGCGUCCCUCGGGACAAGGCAAUAGUGCAUGUAAUCAUGCUGCCAAGAAAAUCCGCUAAACUAAAUCCUGUAGGUACCCGUACCGUAAACGGACACACGUAGUCGGGAUGAAUAUUCUAAGGCGCUUGAGUGAUUCACGGUUAAGGAACUAGGCAAACUGACCCUGUAACUUCGGGAUAAAGGGUCCCUACCCGGUGACGGGAGGGCGCAGAGAAUAGGUCCAGGCAACUGUUUAACAAAAACACAGGGCUGUGCUAAAUCGAAAGAUCCUGUAUACAGCCUGACACCUGCCCGGUGCUGGAAGGUUAAGAGGAGACGUCAUCGUUGAGAGAAGCGUUGAAUUGAAGCCCCAGUAAACGGCGGCCGUAACUAUAACGGUCCUAAGGUAGCGAAAUUCCUUGUCGGGUAAGUUCCGACCUGCACGAAUGGUGUAAUGAUCUGGACGCUGUCUCAACCGUGAGCUCAGUGAAAUUGUAGUAUCGGUGAAGAUGCCGAUUACCCGCGAUGGGACGAAAAGACCCCGUGAACCUUUACUAUAGCUUAUCAUUGAAUCUGGGCACGUGAUGUGUAGGAUAGGUCGGAGGCUUUGAAGGGGGUACGCCAGUAUCCUUGGAGCCGCUGUUGAAAUACGACCCUUCAUUUGUUUGGAUUCUAACCCGUGUAUAUGGGGACACUGAUUGGUGGGUAGUUUGACUGGGGUGGUCGCCUCCAAAAGCGUAACGGAGGCUUCUA